AGCAGCCGCGGUAAUUCCAGCUCCAAUAGCGUAUAUUAAAGUUGUUGCAGUUAAAAAGCUCGUAGUUGAAUUUCGGGGGUUAGUAGAUUGGUCGUGCCAUUGGUACGUACUGGUCUUACUGAUUCCUCCUUCCUGAUGAACCGUAAUGCCAUUAAUUUGGUGUUGCGGGGAAACUGGACUGUUACUUUGAAAAAAUUAGAGUGUUUAAAGCAGGCUAACGCUUGAAUACAUUAGCAUGGAAUAAUGAAA
rnacentral:rRNA from 1 species